GAGUGAAAUAUCGAUGUAAGAGGGAAGCAUCAAUUGCCUGCCUCCCACAUGCCUCCUGAUCGGGGAUCGAACCUGCAACCCCUUGGUGUACAGGACACAGCUCCAGGGCUGGCUUUGGGAAAGGCCUGUUUCCUGGCACUCAGAGGAACCAGUCUUGGCGUGAACAGCCCCUGACAAUUUCCAGCAUAUGGUAAGAGAAGACGCUUCUGCCCACCCAUCAGAUUAUUGCUUGUACGUUGGCGGCCUGUCAUGGGCUCCCUGGUCACGUCCCAGCGGAUUGGCACAUUCGUGGUACCUGGGCCUUGGCACCCACCCACGCUCUGCGGACCAGACGGAGUGUGCGGAGGCAAGGAUGUCUCUAUCUGCCUUUGUCUUUGAGAAAGUGAGUAAUUGUCUCUCUCCUCCCCUAGUCCCUCCAUGGAGAAUUUACUGGCCCAAAUUUUUAAAAAAGCUCCUACCACACUCCCAUUUUCUGCGAGUGCAAUUAGUUGCAGGUACAAAAUUUGGAGCAAAGAGGCCUCUCGUGGCCUGUUGUGCCCGCAGUUAUUCAACUGUGGCUUCAGUUUUUCAGUGCACAACUGAUUGCACCCUCAAAAAGAAAGGCUAAACUCUGGAAAUGGGUCCCUUUAAGACAGUUGGGGGAUUGCGUGCCUCCAGUUGGCAAAUUGCAAUCUUUUACAGAGGCACGGCCGUUGCCCCGGCUCGCGCUGCAAGUCUGAAAUUCAGGUUAGGCAUCUCGGGUGAGGGAGAGGCCCCCAGGAAGGCAGGUGCGGAGCCCCGCCCCCCACUCUGCCCCUGUCUCCGGGCUCACCUUGAGCUAAGGUAGACAGUGCAUUAGUAUUCACAUUCCUGACUCCCUGUCCUGCUUAGUUCGCCAGUCACUCUCCGAAAGGGCUGGAAGAGAGAAGCUCGGUCACACUGUCAAUAUAACACAUUUAACCAACUCUAAAUUUGCUUUAAAGAGACAGCUACAAAGAUUGACUUUUGCAAAGUGACUCACUCCACCAGGCAGCAAAGACACCCAUUUGCUUGUGACUGUUAUUAACUGUGUCACGGAGUACAUAAGAGAGGGGUUUGAAGGAAUUCCAGUGUGAAUCCACUAAUUCAAUAACUCGAUAACAUAAAUUCAAGUAAUGGAUAGUAAUACUAUGUUCAAAACACGCUCCCAACUUUCAUCUCUGCCUUUCCCCAACAGACAGAGCAUGCGUCGGGAGAGGAUCCUGAUGAAAUAAUAAAACCCAAUUCUCAUCUAGAAAAAAGAAUCAUUAUAGGAGGAUGGUAAUUUACUUUAUAUGACCUUCAAUUGAUUAUUCUGUGGCUGCUACACAAAUAUCACAGGAGCUAUUGAUCGUAAAACCUACCAAAUAGAUCUCUAAUAGCUUUUACUGGGCAAAAAUAAUUAUGCUUGCAUUGUG